CGUAGGCAACCUGCCCGUAAUACCGGGAUAACCUGGGGAAACCGAGGCUAAGCCCGGAUAGGCUCCUUUUUCGCAUGGGAGAGGAGGGAAAGGGUGCGACCCGAUUACGGAGGGGCCUGCG
rfam:Clostridium ultunense Esp genomic scaffold, CTLT_3033